rnacentral:rRNA from 1 species
GUGACCCCAGGAUCGGCGAGGCCACCCGCUGAGUUUAAG